CUUGUAACACACUACACACUCGUUUUGUAUUCGAGAAGUAGUUGCAACAACGGUCCCCUUAUUGCCUGACUAGCUGAGGGCCACCCUUCUAUCCCCACCGCCAUCAUGUUCUU
rfam:Barley yellow dwarf virus (ISOLATE MAV-PS1) genomic RNA, complete sequence.